rnacentral:rRNA from 1 species
AUUGAACGCUGGCGGCAUGCCUUACACAUGCAAGUCGAGCGGCAGCGCGGGGGCAACCCUGGCGGCGAGCGGCGAACGGGUGAGUAAUGCAUCGGAACGUGUCCUCUUGUGGGGGAUAACCAGUCGAAAGACUGGCUAAUACCGCAUGAGAUCGCAAGAUGAAAGCAGGGGACCCGCAAGGGCCUUGCGCGAGAGGAGCGGCCGAUGCCUGAUUAGCUAGUUGGUGGGGUAAAAGCCUACCAAGGCGACGAUCAGUAGCUGGUCUGAGAGGACGACCAGCCACACUGGGACUGAGACACGGCCCAGACUCCUACGGGAGGCAGCAGUGGGGAAUUUUGGACAAUGGGGGCAACCCUGAUCCAGCCAUGCCGCGUGUGCGAAGAAGGCCUUCGGGUUGUAAAGCACUUUCGGCCGGAACGAAAUCGUCACCGUUAAUAGCGGUGAUGGAUGACGGUACCGGAAGAAGAAGCACCGGCUAACUACGUGCCAGCAGCCGCCGUAAUAC